UGAGGAAUAUUGGUCAAUGGGCGAGAGCCUGAACCAGCCAAGUAGCGUGCAGGAUGACGGCCCUAUGGGUUGUAAACUGCUUUUAUGUGGGGAUAAAGUGCGUGACGUGUCAUGCAUUGCAGGUACCACAUGAAUAAGGACCGGCUAAUUCCGUGCCAGCAGCCGCGGUAAUACGGAAGGUCCGGGCGUUAUCCGGAUUUAUUGGGUUUAAAGGGAGCGUAGGCUGUCUAUUAAGCGUGUUGUGAAAUAUACCGGCUCAACCGGUGGCUUGCAGCGCGAACUGGUCGACUUGAGUAUGCAGGAAGUAGGCGGAAUUCAUGGUGUAGCGGUGAAAUGCUUAGAUAUCAUGACGAACUCCGAUUGCGCAGGCAGCUUACUGUAGCAUAACUGACGCUGAUGCUCGAAAGUGUGGGUAUCAAACAGG
rnacentral:rRNA from 1 species